CAUUAUCACGUGGGGUGGGUGUACGUGCUCGUCUCGCAGGAGUGUUUUUAUCGGACAUACUGUAAAGAGUGAAACAAUGCAAACAAAACAACAACAACAACAACAACAACAACAACAACAACAACAACAACAACAACAAGAGCAAGGAAGGAGAGGCCACACGCUGAGGCAAGGUACAGCGUGAACACAGGUAAUGCGGGCACCCUCAUACAUGGCGAGGGAUCAUAAAGGAGCGCAAAGAAAGAACAAGACAGGUGAUCAAUAGAAUAAUGAGGAGGAGGAGGAGGUGUUGUUGGUGGAGGAGGAGGAGGAGAAGGAGGAGGAAUACAAAAGGAAAGCCAAACAGCAACAGACCUUUUGGUCUUUGCAAUUCUGUUUUGGUAACUACUUCUAACUAGCUACAGGGAAGAGAGACAGGACAUCAUAGCAGAACGCUCCUCCCCACCCACCACUCCCUCCAGCUUGCGCUGCCAUGGAAAUAGUUGGGAAAAAGUACCAUGCAGUAUGGAAAAACUGAAAUGUAAUUUUCGUGGGAAAAGUUGAAAGGAAGUUCUAUUAUUCACCCUACGGUGAACUCUAUACGCCUAAUACAAUUUAUAAUAAAAUUGGUCUGUAUAAUAAGAGUUUAUUAGUGAAUUUAGUAA